rnacentral:rRNA from 1 species
UACGGGGGGGAGCAAGCGUUGUUCGGAUUUACUGGGCGUAAAGGGCGCGUAGGCGGUCGUGACAAGUCACUUGUGAAAUCUCCGGGCUUAACUCGGAACGGUCAAGUGAUACUGUCGGACUAGAGUACAGAAGGGGCAACUGGAAUUCUCGGUGUAGCGGUGAAAUGCGCAGAUAUCAGGAGGAACACCGGUGGCGAAGGCGGAUCUCUGGGCCUUACCUGACGCUGAGGCGCGAAAGCUAGGGGAGCAAACAGG